CGUAUACUAAAGUUGUUGCAGUUAAAAAGCUCGUAGUUGAAUUUCUGGUCUCGAGACGCGGUCAGCCCCAAGGGGUUUGUACUUGCGGAUUGGGACCAUCCUCGAGAAGAACAUAUCUGUCAUUGAGUUGAUGGGUAUGGGAAUCUCGUCAUUUACUGUGAGCAAAAUAGAGUGUUCAAAGCAGGCUUACGCCGUUGAAUACAUUAGCAUGGAAUAAUAAGAUAGGACCUUGGUCUAUUUUGUUGGUUAGUUCUCCAAGGUAAUGAUUAAUAGGGACAGUUGGGGGUAUUCGUAUUCAAUUGUCAGAGGUGAAAUUCUUGGAUUUAUGGAAGACGAACUACUGCGAAAGCAUUUACCAAGGAUGUUUUCAUUAAUCAAGAACGAAAGUUAGGGGAUCGAAGAUGAUUAGAUACCAUCGUAGUCUUAACCAUAAACUAUGCCGACUAGGGAUUGGUGGGUGUUAUUAGCGACUCCAUCAGCACCUUAUGAGAAAUCAAAGUCUUUGGGUUCCGGGG
rnacentral:rRNA from 1 species